rnacentral:tRNA from 1 species
GCCUAUGUGGCCGAGUGGUUAAGGGACCAGACUUUGAAGCGGGAGGUCGGGGGUUCGAUCCCGCCUAGGGUA